UACGUAGGGUGCGAGCGUUAAUCGGAAUUACUGGGCGUAAAGCGUGCGCAGGCGGUUCGUUGUGUCGGCGGUGAAAGCCCCGGGCUUAACCUGGGAAUGGCCGUUGAAACUGGCGAACUGGAGUGUGGCAGAGGGGGGUGGAAUUCCGCGUGUAGCAGUGAAAUGCGUAGAGAUGCGGAGGAACACCGAUGGCGAAGGCAGCCCCCUGGGCCUGUACUGACGCUCAUGCACGAAAGCGUGGGGAGCAAACAGG
rnacentral:rRNA from 1 species